GGUUCUGAUGUCAGGGAGAGGAAUCGACAUGUCCUGUAGAAGUUUGUAGCCGGUUGAGCCAGUAGCAAAACUCUUUAUCACUGUACCCUGGCUCACUUGGACACUGGGCACAGGAUCCUGGCUCACUGGGCACUGGAACCUGGCUCACUGGGGCACUGGAACCUGGCUCACUUGGACACUGGGCACUGGCUACUGGCUCACUGGGGCACUGGACUGGCUCACUGGCUGCUGGACCCUUCCUCCUCUUGGGCUCAGGACGAUGCAGAAAUAUGCUGGGAACAGCAUCAGCCUUCAAUUUCAGUUGGCCUUUUUUUGUUUUCGUGAAUUGGUCUCCCUCAAAAUGUGCCUGCGAUGAUAUUGGCACAAUGGCAUGAGUUUAAUUUCCACAUGCAUUACAAACUCAUAAUAGUCAAUCCCAAUUUCAUUAUAUACAUAUUACAGUAAACACAUUGGUCCUUGAUCCAAAGUGAAAUGUAUAAAGACAACUUAAACUCACACCACACAGUUUUCUAUUAUUGAAUUUCCUUGUGACAGUCAGGUGCCUUCUGCCAACUUGGGCCAUCCAUUUUUUUCUCCUGUUUGUGUCUUUUGGAAAACCAUACAUCCCGAUCCCUUUCUCAGACCGAUUGGAGCAUCCAAAUGCUGCACAGCCAACCAAAAUCUCCUUGUCUUUUAGGAUCAAAUGAAGUGCAGGAGCUCAAUCAUUGGAAAUUUUAUACUGCAUUUCAACCACUAUAAUAAUUGUGUGUGUGCCUAGGCUGAGGUUUGUGAACAGCAGACAUUUAGAUCACUGGAUCACUACAAACAAACGGAGUGGAAGAACA